GAUGAACGCUGGCGGCGUGCCUAAUACAUGCAAGUCGAGCGAACGGACGAGAAGCUUGCUUCUCUGAUGUUAGCGGCGGACGGGUGAGUAACACGUGGAUAACCUACCUAUAAGACUGGGAUAACUUCGGGAAACCGGAGCUAAUACCGGAUGAUAUUUUGAACCUCAUGGUUCAAAAGUGAAAGACGGUCUUGCUGUCACUUAUAGAUGGAUCCGCGCUGCAUUAGUUAGUUGGUAAGGUAACGGCUUACCAAGGCAACGAUGCAUAGCCGACCGGAGGGGGUGGAUGGACACACUGGCACUGAGACAGGGUCCAGACUCCUACGGGAGGCAGCAGUAGGGAAUCUUCCGCAAUGGGCGAAAGCGUAACGGAGCAACGCCGCGUGAGUGAUGAAGGUCUUCGGAUCGUAAAACUCUGUUAUUAGGGAAGAACAUAUGUGUAAGUAACUGUGCACAUCUUGACGGUACCUAAUCAGAAAGCCACGGCUAACUACGUG
rnacentral:rRNA from 1 species